GUUGUGUCAAAAGCAUUUUAAUGUCAGGCAUCGUUGUUAAUUAAUUCCACCCGAGACGAAAAUUAGCCAAGUAGAAUAAAAAAGGAGUUAAAGCAAGUGUAGGCGAAGUGGUCUAGUGGUAAAGGCAAAGUGUUUACAAGUGCGUAAAGCCAAGAUCGAUUCCUGGUUGUGUCAAAAGCAUUUUAAUGUAAGGCGUCGUUGUU
rnacentral:lncRNA from 1 species